rnacentral:rRNA from 1 species
UACGUAGGUCCCGAGCGUUGUCCGGAUUUAUUGGGUUUAAAGGGUGCGUAGGCGGACGCUUAAGUCAGCGGUAAAAUUGCGGGGCCCAACCUCGUCGAGCCGUUGAAACUGGGUGUCUUGAGUGGGCGAGAAGUACGCGGAAUGCGUGGUGUAGCGGUGAAAUGCAUAGAUAUCACGCAGAACUCCGAUUGCGAAGGCAGCGUACCGGCGCCCAACUGACGCUGAAGCACGAAGGCGUGGGUAUCGAACAGG